rnacentral:rRNA from 1 species
UACGUAGGCAGCAAGCGUUGUUCGGAGUUACUGGGCGUAAAGGGUGCGUAGGCGGCUCUAUAAGUAUGGUGUGAAAUCUCCCGGCUUAACUGGGAGGGUGCGCUAUAGACUGUGGGGCUAGAGUGUGGGAGAGGAAAGUGGAAUUCCUGGUGUAGCGGUGAAAUGCGUAGAUAUCAGGAGGAACACCGGUGGUGUAAACGGCUUUCUGGGCCAUAACUGACGCUGAGGCACGAAAGCGUGGGUAGCAAACAGG